rnacentral:rRNA from 1 species
AUUGAACGCUGGCGGCAGGCCUAACACAUGCAAGUCGAGCGGAGCGGCGGACGGAUGAGUAAUGCCUAGGAAUCUGCCUGGUAGUGAGGGAUAAAGACCGAAAACGGGCGGUAAUACCGCAUACUAUCAGAUGAGCCUACGUCGGAUGAGCUAGUUGGGGGGGUAAAGGCCUACCAAGGUGAAGAUCCGUACCUGGUCUGAGAGGAUGAUCAGUCAGACUGGAACUGAGACACGGUCCAGACUCCUACGGGAGGCAGCAGUGGGGAAUAUUGGACAAUGGGCGAAAGCCUGAUCCAGCCAUGCCGCGUGUGUGAAGAAGGUCUUCGGAUUGUAAAGCACUUGAAGUUGGGAGGCGUUACCAACAGAAUAAGCACCGGCUAACUUCGUGCCAGCAGCCGCGGUAAUUC